GAUGAACGCUGGCGGCGUGCUUAACACAUGCCAGUCGAACGAUGAAGCCCAGCUUGCUGGGUGGAUUAGUGGCGAACGGGUGAGUAACACGUGAGUAACCUGCCCUUAACUCUGGGAUAAGCCUGGGAAACUGGGUCUAAUACCGGAUAGGAGCGCCUACCGCAUGGGGGGUGUUGGAAAGAUUUAUCGGUUUUGGAUGGACUCGCGGCCUAUCAGCUUGUUGGUGAGGUAAUGGCUAACCAAGGCGACGACGGGUAGCCGGCCUGAGAGGGUGACCGGCCACACUGGGACUGAGACACGGCCCAGACUCCUACGGGAGGCAGCAGUGGGGAAUAUUGCACAAUGGGCGAAAGCCUGAUGCAGCGACGCCGCGUGAGGGAUGACGGCCUUCGGGUUGUAAACCUCUUUCAGUAGGGAAGAAGCGAAAGUGACGGUACCUGCAGAAGAAGCACCGGCUAACUACGUG
rnacentral:rRNA from 1 species